UACGUAGGGUGCAAGCGUUGUCCGGAAUUAUUGGGCGUAAAGAGCGUGUAGGCGGCUAUACAGGUCCGCUGUGAAAACUCGAGGCUCAACCUCGAGACGUCGGUGGAAACCGUAUGGCUAGAGUCCGGAAGAGGAGAGUGGAAUUCCUGGUGUAGCGGUGAAAUGCGCAGAUAUCAGGAAGAACACCCGUGGCGAAGGCGGCUCUCUGGGCCGAUACUGACGCUGAGGAGCGAAAGCGUGGGGAGCGAACAGG
rnacentral:rRNA from 1 species